rnacentral:rRNA from 1 species
CCUCCUAAAGAGUAACGGAGGAGUACGAAGGUGCACUCUGUACGGUCGGAAAUCGUGCCAAGAGUAUAAAGGCAAAAGUGCGCUUGACUGCGAGAGUGACUGCUCGAGCAGGUACGAAAGUAGGUCUUAGUGAUCCGGUGGUCCCGAAUGGAAGGGUCAUCGCUCAACGGAUAAAAGUUACUCCGGGGAUAACAGGCUAAUUCCUCCCAAGAGUUCAUAUCGACGGAGGAGUUUGGCACCUCGAUGUCGGCU